GAGUUUGAUCUUGGCUCAGAUUGAACGCUGGCGGCAUGCCUUACACAUGCAAGUCGAACGGUAACAGGUCUUCGGAUGCUGACGAGUGGCGAACGGGUGAGUAAUACAUCGGAACGUGCCCAGACGUGGGGGGAUAACGAGGCGAAAGCUUUGCUAAUACCGCAUACGAUCUAAGGAUGAAAGCAGGGGACCGCAAGGCCUUGCGCGUUUGGAGCGGCCGACGGCAGAUUAGGUAGUUGGUGGGAUAAAAGCUUACCAAGCCGACGAUCUGUAGCUGGUCUGAGAGGGCGACCAGCCACACUGGGACUGAGACACGGCCCAGACUCCUACGGGAGGCAGCAGUGGGGAAUUUUGGACAAUGGGCGAAAGCCUGAUCCAGCAAUGCCGCGUGC
rnacentral:rRNA from 1 species